rnacentral:rRNA from 1 species
AACGUAGGAGGCAAGCGUUAUCCGGAGUUACUGGGCGUAAAGCGCGUGUAGGCGGCUCGGUAAGUGGGUCGUGAAAGCGCCCGGCUAAACUGGGCGAGGACGAUCGAGACUGCCAGGCUAGAGGGUGGUAGAGGGACAGGGAAUUCCGGGUGUAGCGGUGAAAUGCGCAGAUAUCAGGAGGAACACCGGUGGCGAAGGCGACUUUCUGGCCUAUAACUGACGCUGAGGCGCGAAAGCGUGGGGAGCAAACAGG